CAGUUGAUAGGCUAGGUGUGGAAACAUGGUAACAUGUGGAGCUAACUAGUACUAAU
rnacentral:rRNA from 1 species